CUCAUCUGUCAGGGAAACAGAGGCACAAAAGUGUGUGCGUGCGCAUGCGUUGUGUGCACGCCAGCGUGAGUGUGUGUGCCCGUGCGUGUGUGUGCCCAUGCGUGUGAAAGAACGAUGCCGAUACAGAAGGAAGGGCAAGGAGCUCUUCCACCUUACUAGGAUAAACAUCAAUGGAUAUUUUGUGUCAGGCUGGUUCAGUACCUUACUAGAUCCAACACGCCUAACUGCCCCAUUACGAGGCUCUACUAUUCCCCUCAUUGUCCAGUGAGGAGACGCGAAGUGAUGUGCCCAGGUUCCUUAGCCGUAAAAAGUGCAAUCGGUCCUAAAACUCGGGAAGCUUGACUCCAAAGCCAGCAUCCUUCACCCUGUCUUGUCUGCCCUGUGUUGAUACGCGGGACAAUUUCAACAGCAAUACACAGAGAAGGGGCAGGACGGACGGACGGACGGACGGACGGACGGACGGAGGGACUGACUCCUUUGGGCAAUGCUUUGAGUGUCUUUGUUUUGAGAUGGGGCCCUGUGUGGCCUGGAAUUUACUCUGCAGCCCAGACUGGCCUUGUGCUAAUGACCCUCUGCCUUGGAAUCCCCAUUGACAGCGGCAUUGCCAUUGCCGCGGUGAGGCACUGCACCUUGAGGGGGACUCUAAGGUCCUCCUAGGCCCUUCCCUGCUGUGGAUGCCAUUCAGCCCCCUCCCCCACCUCCACAGGAAGUCAGAGCUGCGAGGGUCUAGCUCUACAUCCCAAGGUCAAUACAACUCAUCCUGGAUCCUGAAGGAUUACCCAGCCAGCGUCCCAGCUGUCAACAGGGGACCAGGAAGGGUGGGAAUAUUCUGUGGGACAGGUGCGGGACAUCUAUGAGGCCAUGGGAGCCCUUCUUGUCUUUCCCAGCAUUUCUGUUUGUCUCCUGUCGUCCCUGCAAGCCACCCAGUUUUCCAUACAGGAGAAACCGCUGAGGUUAUAGACCCCCCAAGAUCGGCCUCUCUGGUUACACUCAUGAGACAUUAGGUCUGUGGCUUUUUGUUGUUGUUGUUGUUUGGCUUCUCUGUUCAGUCCUUCCUAUAGUGCCAUGGGAAAUGGCAGAGAAAGGGGUUUUGGGGUUGAACCCGAGGGCUGUAUCUGGGGAAACAGAAGCUGUUACCAUCCAGACGGCUGAGUAUGGGUCAAGAAGUGCUGUGUUUGGGUGUGGCCCGUUGGUCCCAGCCCUCACUCAUGCUGAAAUUUGACCCCCACAUAACAGUGCUGACAUCUUCAGGGGAAAGGUGUGCCCAUGUUUUUUUUUUCUUUAUGUUUUGCUUUGAGACAGGGUCUCACUCUGUAUCCCUAGCUGGCCCAGAGACCAGACUGGCCUUGAACUCACAGAGAUCCACCUGCCUCUGCUUCCUAAGUGCUGGGAUUAAAGGUGUGCCCAGCUGACAUGCCCAUCUUGGAGUGGGCUCCUCCUCCAGAGCAGUGUGCUUGCUGUAAAGCGAGGCUGUUUUGUGUUUCUCCACAUGUCCCCACUUGUCCUUCCCCUUUCCGACAUGUGCCAAAGCAGCACCAAUACCCCCCCCCAAGCACCACCCCCAGCUAAUCAUGCCGGCACUGAGCUCUCAGACCUCCUAGCCUCCAGAUCCAAAGGUCAAAACAAACCUCUCUCCUUUAUUAAUUACCCAGCCGCAGGAAAUUGAUGGAUAUGGGGCAUCCUGAGACCAUCCCUCUGUGGUCCAUGAGCAUCCUUUCAUACACCCUGCUCUUUUCUUCAGAGACCUUGGCUCCUCCCUCAGUCCUGUCCCAUGCCGGUUGACGGGCAGGGGAAUUUCUUAUUCCUUAGUUCUAGACUCUCCUCUGUCCCUGUCCCUGUAUCCCUAGCCCUUGCUUGGCUACAGCUCAGGAAGGGCUGCUCCAGGGCAGAGGGUGAGCGGGUACAGCAUGUGUUUGUUGAAGUUAAUGAUUCACCGCACUGCUCUCAGACCAGGGCUGCAUCACUACAGGAAUCUCACCACCCAAAUGGCUGCCCUGUUCACCUGCUGUAUCAUCGUCUGGGACCCAGAACUGCUGCCUCCUGGAUAGAGUAUUUAUGGCUAGGAAUUGAAUGAGCAGAGAAUGAAUCUGAGACUGGGCUGUGAUGCCUAUGGCCCACAUUUUACCAGGGCUAGGAAGCUGCCUGGAGAGAUCCACCUGCCAAUGAGCUUCCAGAGCAGGGCCCAACAGCAAGACAGAGUGCUCCGUGGCUCCCCCGCCCCGGCAGGACAACGCUGGGCAAACUCACCUUUGUAGUAGAAGAGGCAGCGGUCCACCAGAACAAACCAGCGCUUGUUCCACUGCUUAACCCCGGAGCUGGCCUGCGGGACACACAGAGAGACAGACGGGAAGGCCAUGAGCUGGGUGUGGAAGAGAAGGCAGACGCAGAGUACUGCGCUAGUUACAAGGACACCCGGCUGGAGCCGCAGCGCCACCGCCACCAGCACGUGGCAGCGACUCCCUUGAGAUCUCAGAUACCGGGAACUGACAUCAGAUUAUUGCCUGUGACUUUCCAGUUCUGUCAUUUCUGAGGCUCUGGGGAAGGUGAAGGGGGGGCGGGGGGCAAGAGGUACCCCAGAACGAGCGCGUAGAGGAGCAGACAAGAAUACAGCAGUGUCCAUCCAGGGCAAGUUGGUAAACUCCAGGACUUGAAGCUACCCCACCCCCACACAGCCAGGGGAUGCACAGGGAACGUGCCAUGGGUUGCUGAUGGUUUUAGUGACCGGGCAUACUUCAAAGUCAUCACAUAUGCCCAUCACAAACCUCAUCUUGGGUCCCCCAAUUUGACACUGGUUAACUUUGGGGAGGUUUUCAAUUUCUCAGAACCUUUGUACAAGUGGGAGACAUUCAGAGGCAACAGGAAAACACACCAAAGAGGGCCUGAGCGGCCGUGGGUACAGGAGCCUCACAAGGCUGUGAAGACAGUGAUGGUCGCUGCAGGCAACAUGGCAGGGUGGCCUCACCUGUUUGAAGAGCCAGCCGGCCUUGGUGACAGGGGCACUGGGGUUCCGCUUCAUGGAGUGUGAGCGCUUACCAAAGGCAAUGGCUUUGCGGGAAGUUCGAGUCGCCUGGAGGGGCAAAGGCAGCAGUUAGCCCAACUCCUCUCCUCUCCUUACAGCUCUGUCGGCAAGGGAGCUGUCCUUGCUAAGGGGCAUACCUCUCCAGUGGGUCCCUGGUGCCUUCCCAGUAAGAGGCAGUGUGAGACUUUGAUCGUCUAACUAACUCAAGGGCCUGGCCUUUUAAUUCUUUGGAUCGUCUGAUCUCAAACAUGAGUUUCAACAUUUCAA